UACGGAGGAUGCGAGCGUUAUCCGGAUUUAUUGGGUGUAAAGGGUUCGUAGGCGGCUUCUUAAGUCUGUAGUCUAAGCCCGGGGCUUAACCCCGGUUCGCUACAGAAACUGAGUUGCUUGAGUAUGGUAGAGGCAAGUGGAAUUUCUAGUGUAGCGGUUAAAUGCGUAGAUAUUAGAAGGAACACCAGUGGCGAAGGCGACUUGCUGGGCCAUUACUGACGCUGAGGAACGAAGGCGUGGGGAGCAAAUA
rnacentral:rRNA from 1 species